GGUGACGUGUCCGAGUGGCUGAAGGAGCACGCCUGGAAAGCGUGUAAAGGGCAACCUUUCGAGAGUUCGAAUCUCUCCGUCACCGCCA
rnacentral:tRNA from 7 species